UGGUGUCUGGAAGCAUGAUGUGUCUUCCAGAUGAUAGCAUUUAUAUGUUGAAGCAUCAUCUGAGAGUACGUGACCUUUCGGAUUGUAGAAACCUAGAUCAGUUACCUGAGGAUCUGGAUAGAUUGGAGUGCUUAGAGGAGUUAAGCCUUGCAUAUUGUAGAUCCUUAGAGAAUAUUCCUGAAUGCAUCUGUAACAUGACUCGUUUGAAAAGAUUGGAUCUCUCCUGGUGCUUUAAGCUUGAGAAACUGCCUGAUGAGUUUAGACGUUUACAAAGUUUGGAACUGUUAAAAGUCAUAGGGAUAGAUGAUAGGUUAAAGAAUCUUCCAGAGAGCAUUUCACAAUUGAAAAAUCUUGAGGUUAUUGAGGGUAUGUUUCGUAGGAGGAGUUAAGGCCAAAAAAAUGGAAAUGAAUAUAUUUCUUUGUUUGGUAGGGAAAUGAAAUACAAAACACGGAGAAAUUGAUUUCCUGAGAAAUCCUCUUCUUUACAUUUUCAUUUCCAUGCUAUUUUGGAAGAAUUGGGUUUUUAACUAACCAUUUCUCCGUGUCCUUUUGGUGGAGAAAUUAGUAAAGUUAAAGAAUAGCGGUUAUUUAUUUUCAUAUCACGUGCAAAUCACAUUUCAUACAAAAUCUACACAUACAACUUGAAACCCUAACCCCCAAUUCAGGUGACCCUCUGACAAGUCAAUUUUCUCCGACGAUGACAACUCCAUCUCUUCGGCAUCUAUUCGCUGGCAUUGCAAAUUUGAUUCAUGUAAGAAAAAAAAGGAACUACUUGGAUAUUGUUGAUGAAGAUGAAAAGUUAAUAGAUGUUUAAAUGGAAAAGCUCAAAGUCAAAACGAGAUUGAUCUCUUGAAGGUGGUUUAGGGCGAGAUAGACGAUUUACUGGGCAUCAUUUUGGAGGAAGCAAUAAAACGUUACCGGAACAUGUAGGCAUGUAGCUACAGUUUGUCACUUACAUGUGAAAGCGUAUGAAUGUAUUAUGUUUAAAGUUAUACAUUUCUUACACUUUCACCAUAUCUUAUUUGUUAUAAUGUUUGGCAUGAUUUACUAGUUUUGUUUGAGUAGUAAUGUGAGUUAUAGGUGUUGCACAAAUUUAUACACAGAAAGAAGCUAUGAUUUCAUCUAGCAAAGUAUGGUCAAAUUGUAGUAGUAGUUCUAUUGUUUAGUUCUUGCAGAAUGUUGAGUGUACAGAGGAUUUAUUUACUCCUGAGAUGUUAAAUUGAUUGUAUUUUUGAAAUUAAAACUCAAUUUUCAUUUCUCUA